AUGCCACUCCUUCGUUUCUGCCUGCCCCCAGUUCACAGGUCACCGCUUGCUUCCUCCUGUCCUGCAGCUGUGACCUCAGGGCCAACACAGCGACCACGGCUUCCCCUCGGAUCCUCGUCUACACCAGACACAUGCGUGCGGGGCUGGUGGCCUGGUCCCUGCACCUGCUCUCAGGAGCAUCCCGCAGGAGGCGGGCUCUCGGCUUUUGGGGUAAACUCCCCGUGUCCACAUGGGAAUGGAAAAUUGAAGAAAAAGAAGGAUCCAAGGGAAGGGGCGCUGUCUUUGCAGGCAGAGCCUCUGCCCCGUCUGAUUCCUCACGGCCCACGGCAGGGGCGGACACAGCGGAGAGGACCCUGCGUCCCAGGAGAUGGAAGACAACAGAGCUCCAAAUGUCACCUCCCCGGAAGUCCCCUCCCCACAGUUGAAGACAAUUGAACAGCCAAGGAAGAUAGCCCACUAGGGAAGCCUCCGAGAUUUAAGGCACCGUGAUGGAGGGUUCUUCACAAAGCUCCCAGACCAGUGUAAUCGAGUUGGAAAUGCGAUCCUUUCCAUCCCUCACCAGGAAGUUUCUACAAAUAAAAGACAAAACAGCCCCGACUGACCGGUCUUA
rnacentral:lncRNA from 1 species